GCUGAUUUAUGGAGUUGCGUGCCUGUAGUCCCAUCUACUCAGAAGGCUGAGGUGAGAAGAUCGCUUGAGUCCAGGAGUUCUGAGCUGUAGUGUGCUAUGCUGAUUGGGUGUCUGCACUAAGUUCCGCAUCAAUAUGGUGACCUCCUGGGAGCAGGGGACCACCAGGUUGCCUAAACAGGGGUGAAACAGCCCAGGUUGGAAACUGAGCAGGUCAAUAGUAGGAUACCACUUGUGAACAGCCACUGCAUUCCAGCCUGGCCAACAUCGCAAGACCCUGUCUCU
rnacentral:SRP_RNA from 1 species